rnacentral:rRNA from 1 species
AAUGGGCGCAAGCCUGAUGCAGCAACGCCGCGUGCGCGAAGAAGGCCUUCGGGUCGUAAAGCGCUUUUCGGGGAGAAGAGGAAGGACGGUAUCCCCGGAAUAAGGCUCGGCUAACUACGUGCCAGCAGCCGCGGUAAAACGUAGGAGCCAAGCGUUAUCCGAAUUCACUGGGCGUAAAGCGCGUGCAGGCGGAACUGUAAGUUGGAUGUAAAAUCUCCCGGCUCAACUGGGAGAGGCCGUUCAAUACUGCAGGUCUAGAGGGCGACAGAGGGAGGUGGAAUUCCGGGUGUAGUGGUGAAAUGCGUAGAUAUCCGGAGGAACACCAGAGGCGAAGGCGACCUCCUGGGUCGCACCUGACGCUGAGAUGCGAAAGCUAGGGGAGCGAACGGGAUUAGAAACCCCGGUAGUCCUAGCCGUAAACGAUGUAGACUGGGUGCAGGCGGGGUAAAAGCCGUCUGCGCCGAAGCCAACGCGAUAAGUCUACCGCCUGGGGACUACGGCCGCAAGGUUA